rnacentral:lncRNA from 1 species
GUGCGUGCGGGAGCACGCAUGGGCCGACCCAGCAGAGAGCAGUCACCGUGUAUCGUGGCUUACCGCAUUCUUGCGAUCCAUGGAAGGGCGCAUGGAUCGAGCACCCACUUUUCUGACAUUUUAAAUUGCACGAUCUAUGGUGGACUGGUGACGCUUUCCAGGCCGUUUCUCGUGGUUUACAGAGGGUUUCAUGGACCAAUGGCAUAAUCGAAUGGCUAUUUGCUCUUCUGGUGAUGAUCCAACGGUUGAAAGAUGUUUUCGAUUGGUUUUAGGCAUGAUUCGAAGUGAUUCUUCUGCAUCGUUUGUGGUCGUGCGAUGGAGAUCGAAUGGCAGGGAACAAAGACCACUUUCGUAAUAAGACGGAGUUCGAUCCAGAUGCGAUUUGGGCUUGAUUUUGAGAUCUAUUUAAGGGGCAC